UUGUAAUUUUAAAAAUAUUUUUAAGAGAUUGUGAAACCAGAUGUUGCAAUGUGACUUUGUGACUUUUGUCAGAAUUCAUUUCUGAUGAUAGAUUGGCCUCUGGAUGGUUUUCCCCAGCCAAAUGACUGCUCUGGUCUUCAGUGACACAAUCCCAACAAGGAGAAGAAUAUGAAGAAUUUGACUUUGUAUUGAUGCUAAAAACAUGGAUAAAUAAAGUCUUUGAAAAACGUGGAAAAUGGAAAAUGGCAUUGCCUGAUGCGUAUAGGAUGAGGUCAAAUGGAUGAACAGCUACAGGAAUGUUUUGUUCAGACUCAUUCUGAUUACAACUGCCUUCUAGGACUUUGUGGGAAGAUCAUCAAUUAGCUGUAGUCCUUCCUGGGUGUGACAAAUCCUAGACAAUUGUAUACAACAGCUGUAGACAACUCUUGAAGGGCUACCCAGCUCACAGUUAGAGCCUCUUUCUGGGAGGCACCCUGACACUCAAGGGAGGGAUUGCAGGCCUGGCCACAGCUGAUUGUUAUGGAGGGAAUGUUUGAACCAAGCUGGGCCAAUCAGAUUCUUGGAAUGAGGUUACUGUAAUGGGAAUGUUCUAGUGAGGGGAUCCAUGGACUCAAGGUACUUAGGUCUUUGGAACGGCCAUGGUUCUAGCCUUUCCUAAUUCUCCAUUCAAUCUUUUUGUGAAAUUUAAUUAAGUGAUUAUUAUUAUUUUUUAGUGUCAAUUUCUUUUCUUGUCCUGUAGGGUAGGUUAAUAUCUUAUUAUCUUCCAGCCUUCCCCUAGCAUUGCCGUUAAUAUGUAUGAUACCUUUAUUGAGUUAAAAAAAGGUGUCGCCCUCUGGGAGGACAAAUUAGAAAAAGCUGUUCUUUCUCGGGGCAGCACAGUCCCUCAUCAGGGUGAAAGGUUCGGCCAGUGGAAUGUGGGGUUGGGAUCCAGCCCUGAGCCACUCACUUUCUCGGCCAGGCUCCUUUGUGCAUUGCACAGGCUACAUCCCCAUUGUGGCAGCCGUGCUUGUCCACCAUCUGUUUCUUUGAUUAUCCAUCUUCUGCAUCAAGGUAUCAUUCAGAAUAUGAAGUGUUAUUCUGGAUAAGAUUGACCGAAAAUGUCAAUCAUGCAAGCCCUGUUCAGGAUUUUAACGCACAUGACAAAGGCAUAACUUUCUCUGUGCAUGUGCAUUUGUUCAAAGUCAAACCUUAAAGGAAAUUUAGAAAAACUCUGUGGCCUGGUAAAGUCCACAGAAACCUUGUCUUCUGGUGAAUAAUCUUCAGGCUUUCAGGAAGCCUUCCUCCAAACAGUCCGGCAGAUGUUCUUGAAAUGUCAAAGGAGACUCUUCUUUCCCUCUGUGAACAAAACUAGUGAGAAAAUGAGAGCAAGAUCACAGGAGUUGACAAAGCGGUGUCUGCAGGCCACAGCAAGAGUGACAUGGAAACCACAUCGGAAGCACUGAUGGUCAUGGGAAGAAAAUGAUCUCAAGGAGGAAAAUGCCUGGAGAGGAGGCUAUUCCAGCUCUGAUAAUUCAUUUCACAGUCAGCCUGACCUGCUGGGUACUUGCAGCUAAGUCACGUUGGGAACCUUCAGCUACUAUGAGGCUGCCUUGUGGAGAGACCACCUUCAAACUGGAGAUGCCUGAGGAGCCCCAGCCAUCAAGCCCCACGCUGUUGGAGCCUUCUAGCCUAGGCCCCAGACAUGGGAAUGAAGAAGCAGUCCAGCUGGACUCCCGCCCCUAUCACCAACCUACUGCAGACUUUUGAGAGAUCCUGAAUGUUUUCAAUAAUGGGAUCCUAUUCUUCUAACCUUAAUAUGAUGCCACAAUAGAUGAGACUUUUGGUGAUCACUGGAAAGGGCCCAGCUGUUUGGGGGCUGCCACUCUGGAGAGGUCAUGUGAAGAGGCCCCAUAGAGAUAAAGAUGCCUGAGAAACCCCAGCUAUUCCAGCUCUGACUUGGUUGCGUCCUCCCAGCCUAGGCACCAGACAUCCCUCCAUGUCCUGACUAUGUGGCAAUGAACUGCUGAUUUAACCAACCUCUUUAUCUGUAAAAUGGGUUCAAAAUCAAGUCUUCAGCCCUUGGAACACAGCGGGUGUGAAGGACUGCCAGCCUCUCUGCGGCAUGGGGGAAUCUUACAUUUGUGAUGUGGAGCUCCAUGAGCCAGUAACAGCAGCACAUCUAUAUGUGCUUCCAGCCUCCUUCAGCUGGUCUGCCUUGGUGUGGGGAGUAACUUCACAGAGAUCGGAAGACGACCUGGAUCCCUAAAUGGUUUCUGCUGGCGCCAGAAUGCCUUGCAGAGGUCAUCUCCAGCACUGCCGCGCAAGGUGGCAGCAGGCGCAGAGCCCUCGGAGAGUGAAGCCCGCCAGAACCAGGAUUCAGAAGGCAAAGGACUCUUUCCCACAGAGCCAGGGUGCACAUCUGCAUAUUGUUGCACAGUGGUUUGCACACGUUUGCAUCCAAGUCCACCUCCACUCUCUCUUACUCUUCCUUUUUCCACCUCUAGUAAGACUGAAUAUUUAGGAGUGGCUCCAAAACUGUAGUAUCUAAGCCCCCAAGCCCAGUUCUCUCCAUUUCAAGUGUGUUUCGAGGACCUGAUGUCUGCACCAGCCUUUAUCUGGGGCUUUCAGGGAGAUAGAGUGUGGCUACUCACAGUUUAAUUGGGGAAAUAGUUCCAGGGGAACGUAUUAGACAGGGCAUGUUAGGGGGCAGUAGCUGCACUGGUGAGGGUGCUUGGAGUGGGCUGGAAGGGUGUGGGUGGUGAGCUCCGGAGUUUCAGCACAGGGCUUCAUAUGUGCUGGCUACUGUGUUGGGGAGGGCUCUGUGAGUCUCCUAACUCAGCCCUCCUGAGUCCCAUGGCCCUUUUUGGAGCAGGGAUGACAAAUGGGGGCCUUACAUCAUAUUAAGUAUCAUUGACCUGCUCUUGGCCUCAAUAGACCAGACCGAGUGUGGGCCUAGAGCCACAGGUGGCCUUCAGUACAGUGGCCAGGGCGACCACUCAGUCCAUCCCCAUUCACUGAUACAGAUGAGGGAAGUGAGUACAGAGCGGUCAGGUGACAUGUGACAUGCUCAAGCAUCCACACAGGAAGAGGAGCUGGGAGAUGAACCUAGGCAACCAGGCUCCUUGGUUGUGCCUUUGACCAUCACAUUCCACAGCCUCUCACGAAAGGGUAAGCUGCACUGGGCUCCAGAGCAGGAGUUAGCAGCCUGUCAGGGAUUGGUAGCACCCAGUUUGGAGUCUGACUGCCUGGGUUCAAAUCCUGACUCCACCGAUUACAGCUGUGUGACUUCAGGGAAGUCACUCGAUUUCUCAACUGAGGUUUCCUCACGUGUUGAGUGAGCACAGGCAUCUACCUCAUAGGAACCUGACCGACUUCACACCACAAUGAAUGUGCAAUAUGCGUCUGUCACUGGAUAGGGAUUGAGGGAGGAGGUCUGGGGAUGGCUAGUUGAGGGUGUAAUGAGGAGAAGGCCGGGCUGGAGCAGGGGCUGCCCAGGGAAGCAGAGGACAAGGGUGGGCCAGGGGAAGAGAGCGCCAGGGCUAGGACUAUCAGCCCUGGUGUCCUUUGUCAGUCCAGAGAGGCAGAUGUGGCAGAUUUGUCCGGAGCUGCCUGCAGUUGGUAGCCUCUCUUCACAGGACUCAUCUGGUCCCUCAUACAGAUACUAGGGAACCAGCCAUUCUGCCCCUCAUGAGAGCUCCAGGGUGGGGGAGUGCCCUCAACUCCCAGUCCCUCAGAAUGCCCCAGCAGCCCAUGAUCCACCUGCUGGGUCCACAGCAUAAUGGAAUUUUGAGUUUUCUGUCAUGGCACUUGAAAGCAAUGCCCAAGUUUCCUUGAAAAAAUGCCUAAGAAGCAUAAUGGUUUGGUCUCUGCAUGAUUGUGAAGAGGCCAUCAGACCCCAUUGUCAAAGCAGGAGAGCCCAGGGCAGCAGAAGACUGGUGGUCUCCAUGGACGGGGACUGGGGUGUUGAACAAGGCUGAGAGAGCAGAAUGGGGCGGGCUGGGGCAUGAGAGGAUGAAGCCAAGCUGCCCAUCAUGAGGAAACACUACAUAUCUAGGCAGGCAUCCUUGCCCACUCACAGGCCCAGAGACCACCAUCAAACAGUUUAGAGUGGCGGGCCAGUGUGCAGGUUUCUGGAAUAGUCGCUCAUAAGAGACUCUGUCUGGGAGUCCAGUUUGGACUAAAGCAAGUCUCUCCUCUUUACCCUUUUUAUUCAAGCAUGUUUGGGCAGACUGAGCUUAGCUAUUAACUGGAGCUAGAAGGGACUCAGGGCUCAGCCCCUUUUCGGCCCCACAGCUGUGGGCAGGGAAGAAAGGUGAAUGUGUACAACUGAGAUCUACUCUACUUGGGUGUCCAGCCCCACGGCACCAGCUCUGUGCAGGAGACCUACUGAAGGGCAGCCAAACCUGGUCUGGCACAGACAGGGUCUGCUAGAGGGUCAGGCCCUGCCCUGUCCUUCCUGGCAACCCAGGCUUGGUCAAGUCAUUCAGCCUAUCUGGGGACAAUGUUCUUGGUCUUCUCUUUUCCAUUCUUGGCUUCACUCCUCCAAACCUAUGUCCGUUAGAUCCUUUGUGACUUGGAUCCUUCCCCUUGUAUAACUCACAUGCAAUACAGUUAUCAGACCUUAUGUGUAUAGCUCGAUGGAUUGACACAUGUGUCUGUCCCCAUGUGAUUGUGACUACCAGACUGAAGCAUCUAUACACCAUCCAGCUCUACAGACGGUCCCUCUGUGCCUCUCCCCAGUAAAAACCACCCCAGCGGCGACUGCUGGACUGACUUCUGUUGUCCUAGAUUCAUUUCACCUAUUCUUGACCUUCACACAAGUGGUAUCACACAGUUUCUUCAUGUCUGGCUUAUUUUGCUCAACAUAAAUUGUUGAGAUUCACCCAUGCAGUUGUGUGUAGCAGAUGCUUUUUGCUUGCGUUUUAAUCACACAAGCAGUGUGAUUAGAUGCAGUGUGUUUAAUGCAGUGUUCCAUUAUAAGAGCAUUCCAUGAUUUGUUUAACCAUUCUCCUGUUGAUGGGUAUUUGGGUUGCUACUGUUGGGGGAACUAUGAAUAAAGCAUUCAUGCGCAUACUUAGUUACCAACAUGUGCAUUUGUCUCUCUUGGGUGGAUAGGUAGGAGUGGAAUUACUGGGUAGCUUGGAAGUUUU